UACGUAGGGUGCAAGCGUUGUCCGGAAUUACUGGGCGUAAAGCGCACGUAGGCGGCUUUGUAAGUUAGAGGUGAAAGCCCGGGGCUCAACCCCGGAAUUGCCUUUAAGACUGCAUCGCUAGAAUUGUGGAGAGGUAAGUGGAAUUCCGAGUGUAGAGGUGAAAUUCGUAGAUAUUCGGAAGAACACCAGUGGCGAAGGCGACUUACUGGACACAUAUUGACGCUGAGGUGCGAAAGCGUGGGGAGCAAACAGG
rnacentral:rRNA from 1 species